UGGGGAAUAUUGCACAAUGGGCGCAAGCCUGAUGCAGCCAUGCCGCGUGUGUGAAGAAGGCCUCGGUUGUAAAGCACUUCAGCGAGGAGGAAGGUGGUGAGCUUAAUACGCUCAUCAAUUGACGUUACUCGCAGAAGAAGCACCGGCUAGCUCCGUGCCAGCAGCCGCGGUAAUACGGAGGGUGCAAGCGUUAAUCGGAAUACUGGGCGUAAAGCGCACGCAGGCGGUUUGUUAAGUCAGAUGUGAAAUCCCCGGGCUCAACCUGGGAACUGCAUUUGAAACUGGCAAGCUAGAGUCUCGUAGAGGGGGGUAGAAUUCCAGGUGUAGCGGUGAAAUGCGUAGAGAUCUGGAGGAAUACCGGUGGCGAAGGCGGCCCCCUGGACGAAGACUGACGCUCAGGUGCGAAAGCGUGGGGAGCAAAACAGGAUUAGAUACCCUGGUAGUCCACGCUGUAAAACGAUGUCGAUUUUGGAGGUUGUGCCCCUUGAGGCGUGGCUUCCGGAGCUAACGCGUUAAAUCGACCGCCUGGGGAGUACGGCCGCAAGGUUAAAAC
rnacentral:rRNA from 1 species